rnacentral:rRNA from 1 species
AAUGAACGCUGGCGGCAGGCCUAACACAUGCAAGUCGAACGAAGCCUUCGGGUUUAGUGGCGGACGGGUGAGUAACGCGUGGGAACAUGCCCAAAGGUACGGAAUAGCCCUGGGAAACUGGGAGUAAUACCGUAUGUGCCCUUCGGGGGAAAGAUUUAUCGCCUUUGGAUUGGCCCGCGUUGGAUUAGGUAGUUGGUGGGGUAAUGGCCUACCAAGCCGACGAUCCAUAGCUGGUUUGAGAGGAUGAUCAGCCACACUGGGACUGAGACACGGCCCAGACUCCUACGGGAGGCAGCAGUGGGGAAUCUUAGACAAUGGGGGAAACCCUGAUCUAGCCAUGCCGCGUGAUCGAUGAAGGCCUUAGGGUUGUAAAGAUCUUUCAGAUGGGAAGAUAAUGACGGUACCAUCAGAAGAAGCCCCGGCUAACUCCGUG